UCUCCACCACCCGCCGGGCCGGACUGGGCAGGGCUGCCAGCGCUCGCUCCCGCCCGGGCUUGGCCGGGGUCCAGGCUGGGCCACACGCCUCUCCUCUGGCCCUGCUCAGCCCGGUCCAGCUCACGCACGGCCUCAGCCCGCCCUUUUAGGUCCUUUCCCGCCUCCUCAGCUGUAGACCAGCGACAGAGAGAUGACCAAAGCUUCACUUUCCUUACUCCUCUGUCACCCUCUAAAUACCUCCUCCUGCAAGCAUCGUCCCCCGCGCGCUGACCCCCUAAACUUUCACAUUCGUCCAGCACCAAUCUCCAACUUCGGGCUUGGAGGCAGGUACCAGAGCCUGAGAAAGGGACGGCGGCUAUGAUAUCUCUGGGAAGGCAUCGCAGCACGCCCAUCCACAUGAAAACUCCGCAGCACCCCCAAUGCGGCGGGCUCGAUGUCCCCGAACUUCCUUGGCCUACCAUCGCCAUCGCCCCAUUUUCCGCGAUAGAAACACUGAGAUCAGAGCGGGCGAAACGCUUUUCCGAUCUGAUGACAGGCCCAAGACUGCAGAAGAAUGGAGCAAUCACCACUUGCCUUCUGGCAGGCCUCCCCCUCCUCCCAGACUGCUGCCUCCUGAAGUGGCUGGCACCAUCCACACCCCUGGUACUGCCACUAGGCUGAAAAGGCCUCCUAGAGGAUAUGGGCACCAAAGGGACAUGAACACAUGAGUAGGAGCUGCCUGCCUGGAAACAUUAGAAGGGACCGAGGCGGCGAGAUGUCUAAAAUAGGAAGAUGCUGGGGACGGCUGGCCUGGCUGCCCGCGAUGCUGGCUGCGGGGAUCUGGUCCGGCAGUGCAGCUGGAAAAGCUAGGAGGUAAGGCAGACACAGGACUUAACAUCUGGAAGCCGGCUCUGGGGCCCCGGGGGCCUGUGCGAAUGGGUGGGGAGGCUGGCCUACUCGUAGGAGGGGACAGGGGUGUCUGCCGUUCACCACCUAGCGCCCCAAAGCCCAGGGGCUUCUCCUAGGCCUUGCAGGAACCUCCCACUCAAAUCUGUUCUCAGACAUUUCCUGCAGUGUGGGAUGCAGAAAUUGACUCAUCCAUCCAUUCAGUCACUAAAUAUUUUUUGAAAAUCCAGUCCUUGCCAGACACUGUUCUGUGCUGGGUAUGCAGCAGAGAGCAAGAUGCAGUGUCCGGUACACUGCAGGGACACCAGCUACUGCAGUGGAGUGUGCAGCAUAGUAGUUCCUCGGGAACACAGAACGGUCACGGGGCUCCCUGAAGUAAAAGGCACCUCAGCCAGGGCCUAAAGGAUACAUAGGAGAUAGUCGGGUAAAGAAGGAUCAAAGGCCUGCACAGUGGACGUUUGUCGGAUUUGUCCCAGUGGCUGAGGAAUGAAUAGAUGAGUUGAGAGAGAGCUGGAGAGGGAGGGCAGAGAGGGGCAAGUUGGAAAUCUGGCUGGUGACAUGAUCCCAGUUGCCUUGGGGGCCUGGGAAGGGCUGUGUGUCAUAGCUUCAACAAGAGCAGCUGUAGUCACAUGGGUUGUGACUGUAGUUGUUAAGCCCCCACCCACCAUAGUACCAUUUGCAGAGUUUACCCACGCUGGCCCCUGUGAGCCUCCCAAGGUUACUUCUCAUAGAAACCCAGUUCAUAGACAAGUACAAUGCAGCUUAGAGAUGUGUCCAGGCCACGGCUUGUGAGUGCCACCUGGGCAGGUCUGUGCCUCAGAGAGGCCAAAGCCUUGGUGCCAGAGAGGGAAGACAAACAUACUGUCAUUAGCUCAGCAUCACCCUAGUCCAAGCCAGUGAGGCUCAUAGGGCUCACGGUACCACGGGCUCACAGUACCAUGGGCUCACAGUACCACGGGCUCACAGCACCACGGGCUCACAGUACCAUGGGCUCACAGUACCAUGGGCUCACAGUACCAUGGACUCACAGCAGGAAAAACUUCAUCUGGGCCCAGCAGGAGAAAUGGGACCAAGGUCUGGAUGGGAUGAACAGGGGGGAGGGACGGCAGAGGGAGGUGUGCUCAGGCCGAUAUGGAGACAGGAGCAGAGGAGACCUGGGCUGACAAGGGAAUGUGUGUGGGGAGCAGACCAUCGUUAGGCUAGAGGAGAUUAGGACGAUAAGAGCAGGGGGACAGAGAGCUGGGACCAGAGGGACAGCUGGAGUGUGAGCUUACUCCAAGGGCCACAGGAAGCUGGAAGCAUCUGUUCAGAGGUUGACCUCCUUUCCAGGGGAUGCCUGGGUGAUCCUUUGAGCAGCCCUUUCCCAACCUCCCCCACAUGCAGCACUUCCUGCUGAAGAAAAGAAGCCAUCUGCCCCUCUGCAUUGCUGAAUGCUAGGAGCUGAGCCUCAGUGACCUGCUUUUUUGGAGGAAUGGCUGUGGAGUUACGGUAGAGGGAUUAGGAGGAGAGAGAUGAGGGACAGGCAGGCAUCUACAGGAUUCAGAUGAAGGUUUUCUUGCUAGGAGUCCGUGGUAAUGGUCUGCACUGAGUGGGCUUGGAACAAGGCAAUGCUGACCAAUGGCAGCGUCUCUACUGGGUCCAUCCCAGCUCCCAGCUGCCGCCUAGCUGCUCCCAGAGAGCCAGCAGCUGCUGACGUGGUCAGCCUGGCCACAAGGAGGUUCCCCCUGUUCCUUCACCCCUCCUCCCUACCUUGGAUGACAGGAUUCCAGCUCCCAGCCUCCUGCUGCCUUAAUUACAGGAAGGCCAGGCCCUACCCAGGCCUACUGUGGGCACCAGGCUCCCUGGAAUUCUUCACUAAAGAUGCCUGGGGAGGGCUGUUGGCAGGUGGAGGAGGCCUAAGUAUAGGGACCAUAUUCCUUGAACCAAUAGGUGAAGUCCUUAGGGUCAUGGGGGUGUUGGGGAUCUGGGGGCUCUGGGGUUCAUUUGCAGAUAGGGAGCCAGAGCUUCUUUCUGAGCAUGCCGGAUGGACUGAGGCUGGGUAUGCUAUAGCACACCUGUGAUUCCAAGCACUGGGGAGGCUGUGGUAGGAGGACAGUGAGUUCAAGACCAGCUUUAACUACAUAGUAAGACCCUAAGGACUGGGGCAGGCUGGCAGGAUGGCUUGGUGGGUAAAAGCACUUGCCACCCAGACCUGACACCCUGAUUUUGAUCUGUGGAAUUCACAGCAGAAAGAGAGAAACUGUAAAUGGAAGCAGAGUUUUCUGUCCUGACUGCCCAGCCCAAAUAAACAUACAAAAGCUUAUAUUAAUUACAGAAUGCUCAGCCAAUAGCUCAGGCUUAUUAUUAACUAGCUCUUACUUUUAAAUUAACCCAUUUCUAUUCAUCUAUGUAUUACCAGGUGGCCUGUGGCUUUACUGGUCCCCUGGCAUCUUGCUCUUUGGGUGGCUCACUUGAGUCUCCCUCAGCUCCACCUUUCUUCACCCAGUCAUCAGUUUGGUUGUCCUGCCUAACUUUACCCUGCCUUGCUAUAGGCCAAACAGCUUUAUUAUUAACCAAUGAGUGUAAUACGUAUUCACAGUGUACAGAAGGAUCAUCCCACAGCAUCUCCCCCUUUCUGACUAAUCAAAAAGGAAGGUUUUAACUUUAACAUACUAAAAUUACAUAUAACAAACAGUUAUCAAGCAAUAAUUAUAGUUACAAUAUCUAGUCUAUUUUUAUUUGACAAAAUCAGAGAAAACAUUCAAUAAUCUAGCCUAUCUUGGUGAGUCUAAAGUUUCACAUCUAAUCUACCUUUUAUCAUAACUAAGGAAAACUAUAAUUAUAACUACCUAAUCUUCAACUCCAUCAAAGAUCUGAGAAGGAAAUAAUAUUACCUAAGUAAGCAGUAAGCACAGGCAAGUGACUUCCAAAAAUUGUGGGAAAUGACAGAGACAGCUGGCUGCUUGAGCAGUCAUCCACGUUUCCUCUGUAAUGCUGGGCAUGGCGUUCAUUUCUGGCCUACAGGCCUAGCAUAUCUGCCAGACUUUCCUGUGAAGCAGGGAUUUUUGAAGGACUGUCCUACCUGGUUUUGGCGAAGUUUUGUAGUCGCCUUUUUUGUGUCCUGCUGGUCCAGUUUGGAUAGUAACUGUCAGCAUUGAGGCAAGGGCAGGUUCCUUGCCCACGUGGCUAGCUUUUGCCAUAUAGAAAGCAAGCAAACUCAUUAUGGAGUUUCUUCAAUGUCCAUCAUCUUUUCUGGACUAUAUUGGUGCUGUCAGGAGCAGACAUGUCUCACUGUCAUGAAAAGUCUAAGUUAUUAAAACAUUUUAAAUGUCAUAUUCUGUAGGUCUUUGAAGUGUUUGAAGAUUACCUAUCUAUAUGAAAUAUAUCUUUGUAUACCUAGAAAACCUAAUUAACAUGACUAUAAGUUUCACUAUUAUAGAUGACUACUGAUCUGUAUUUCUUAAUCACACAUUACAAUUUUAAAUGAGUUGCAUAAACGUAAUAUCUUAAACAAGAUAGAAAUAUAGAUAUAACAAAAUUAACUUUAAAUUUGUAUCAAUAAACCAAUAUCCAUAUCAAUGUAAAAUAUUUUGAAAUUAACAGUUGCUUUUUGGAUUAAAGUAGAUUCAUAAUCUACCCUUUUUUCCAUCAUAAUAAUCUACCUUUUUUCUCAUAUUUCUAUAUAUAUCCCCCUUUCUUCUUUUAGAAAGAGGGUGACUAUGACCAAUAACAAUUUGUAACCAACCCCCUUUAAAUGAAAACAAACAUUUAUAAUCAAUAUUCGGGGAAUGUGGGAGUAAUUUUCUAGACUACUUCCUGCUGAUUGGUGGGCACUGGUAAUCUUUGAGGGACCCUGAGAAAAUCAGGAUAAUUGUUAAAUCUUGGCUGGAGUAUUCUGUGAGCCUGGAUCAUCUCAGUCAGCAGCCUUGAAGCUGUUUUGGAUGCUGGAUCACCUGGGCCAUUUUUAUUGGUAUCUGGUCUCCUUGUUCUGAAAAUAUAUAUAACUUUCAAAGGUAACAUAUGUAUUUGUAUUAAUACAAAUAUAAAUUGUGCAUUUGUACACAAGCCAAAGAUAAUUUUGUGUUUCAUGUUUGGGCAUGUAAAAUAUACAUAAUGUGUCUUGUAGUUACUUUAGGUUUAUUUUACCACGUCUGUAGUCAGGAUUUCAGGAGGUCUUCCUCAAUCAAACCUGAUUUUCCUUAACCCAGAAUGAAUCCAUAGCAUUUCAUUUUCUGUGGAAAUGAAAGGAUAUCCUCUCCCCCAAAGUAACACAUCUUUUGAUUUAAAUUUUGAAGACAAGAUCAUUUUAAAAUAUGUUGGUUGGUUUAAUUUAGUAGCUUUCACAAUCAAAUAUCUCUCAGCAAUUAUCAUUUGCCCAUUAACAGUUAAAAAAUCCAAAGACAACACAAUAAAAUAGAGAAGCCAGGCUCUCUUUGUAUUUCCCAUAUUUAUGUAGCUUAUCAUACUUUUUAUUACUCUAUUCCCUUUUUAAGAACUUUACUAUUAUUUUUUAAUCAUUUUUUUAAUCCAUGACUGUUUCUACCCUUUCUCUUCUCUCUCCCAAGCCUACACAUAUUUUUCAAACACACUGUGACCCAUUUAGAAGCCUUUUUAUGUGAAUCUGUCCUUACUGUGUAUCUUUAAACCUUUUUGUCUGUAUGAGCAAAAACUCUCGAUCUGCGGUGUGGUGCACGGCUGGGAGACAUCUCUAUGUUCUGCAGGCUGUGUGAGACUUCGGGAAUCUGCCAUGCUGCAGCUCAAGCCUGCAUGCCGCAGCCAGGGGACACGUGUCUGUACUGCGGCCUGUAUGAGAGAGCUGAACAAUGAAGCUGCUCUUGGCUCCAUUUUUGUGUGUCUAGAACCCUUUUUUUUAAAGCUUUCUCAGGCUUUAUGUGGAUGGACAUGCCCCACAUUGGGCUGCCAUAUGUAAAUGGAGGUGGAGCUUUUCUGUCCCAACAGCCCAGUCCCAAAUAAACAUACAAAAGCUUAUAUUAAUUACAAAUGUUUAGCCAGUAGCUCAGGCUUAUUAUUAACUAGCUCUUACUUUUGAAUUAACCCAUUUCUGUUCAUCUAUGUAUUGCCAUAUGGCCCAUGACUUUACCAGUCCUCUGGCAUCUUGCUUUUUGAGCGUCUCACUUGCAUCUCUUUCGACUUCACCCCUCUUCAUCCCAGUCCUCAUUGAUUGUCCCACCUAACUUUAUCCUGCCUUGCUAUAGCCAAACAGCUUUAUUAUUAACCAAUGACAGCAAUAAGUAUUCACGGCAUACAGAAAGAUCAUCCCACAGCAAGAAACAACUCCUGAAAUUUAACUUCCACAAGCACGCAGGCCACGAGAGCACACACACAUCAAUAGUAAUAAAUAAAAAUAGCAAUGUUUGGUUAGUUUGCAUAAGGCUCUGGGUUGGAUCCUCAGCAGCAGCACUUAAACCAGGCCUGAUGGUUGCAUGCCUACAAUUACAUUACUUGGGAGGUAGAGGCAGGAAGGUCAGAAGUUCAAGGUCAUCCUCAGCUACAGAAUGAGUUCAAGGCUAAGUUGGGCUAUAUGAGCCCUUAUCUUAAAAACAAAAGGGGGUGGGGGUGGUAUUGUGAUUGGCUCAUAACUGGACUACGCCAUUAACUAGCUGGAUUAUUUCGACUAAAUCAUUCAUCCUUCAGGGCUACUGUUAGCCUGGGAGGACAAGACUGGACCUGACCUGUCUCAGAACUCAGGAAAGCUGUGGCUCACCCUAGCUCCAGCUCAGGCCCUCUCCACAGGGUGGUGCAGCCGUGGAGAGAAUAGGGACCUGCUCUGCUACCAAGGACCCCUAAGGACUUGACUAAACCUUUUGCAAGGAGGUCCAGAGAGGAAAGUGAGUCUUGGGAGGGAGACCUGGGCUUUGGUGCUAGCUGUGCGUCCGUCUUGGGGUGCCACCUUCCCUGGCCCCUCUUUCUUUUCCAGCCAAGGAACAAAGCUUGAUUCUCUGGCACUUUCUCCAUCCAUCAGUAGACAUCUUUACAGAUGUGUCCAGAGUUCUUGCCCUCUGGGACUCCCUUGUGGUAAGUGUAUGUCACCACCACAUACUCCCUUCCUUUUCCUUGGUGCUACUGGACACCUCAGUGCUACCUGGCCAGUCUCCUGUUGCACCCUGUGGCUGUUGAAUCAGUCCCUUACCCAUGGACACCUAGCUUACUGCUGGUUGCCACGCAAACAAGCAACCCUACAACUUUUCUUUUAAAGAUGGGGUCUCAUGUAGCCCCAGACUGGCGAAGAAUUCAUUUGGGUUCCCAAGGACGGCCUUGAACUUCUCAUCUUGAGGCUUCCGCCCCUCAAGUACUGGACUCAUGGGCAUGCGGCACUGUGCCUGGAUUUUGUUUCGGUGCCAGGAUUUCAUGCAUUCUAGGUGAACUCUCUGCCAACUGAGCUACACCCCAACCCUGCAGUGAAUGUCUUGAUGUACCCCAUGCACAUCUGUGUAGUGACUUCUGUAGGAUAAAACUGUAAAUACACAGUUGGUGGGCAGAAAGGCCUUACCUUUUACAAGGCAGCAAAAGCCUGCAAGCUCUACCAAAAGUCAACCAGCACUGGCCUCGGCCCAGCCCUGGUGCAGGGCCUGGCAUAGCCAGGGUCCCCGCCUCCUGUGGAUUUGGAAACCAGCUGAGAAGAAGCACACACUUCCAUCAGAGACAGAUGCUACUGAGGAAGCAAAUAGGGGCCCAGAGGAAUAUUUCUGAGCAGUGAUGUGAUGGCCUGGCUGAACAAAGUCCAAGGGGCCAUCUUGUAGGAGUGGGCAGAGCCAGUGCAAAGGCUGAUGGGUAGGAGGUUCGGGAUGAUGGCCAGUGUGCCUAGGGUGGGUGGAAAAGAGCAAGAUCGGCUCAAGAGAAAGGUCAGAGGCGGCUCUGUGGAGAACUCUACGAACUGGGGAGUAGGGGCCACGGUGAGGGAGUGAUCUCAGAGAGGCCGUGUGGGGCACUGCUAUUGUUGAAGGUAAAGACCCUGGGAACUCCAGCAGGGGAUGGAGGGGAAGGCGGGAAGUGCACGGAUUCAAGACCCCUGUGAGGGUCUUGGGUGCAGUUACAUGGUCAGCAGAGAAGGGGGAAAGUCCAGGAUGACUUGUAGGCUUUUGUGGAGGCAGUUGGUCUCCUCUGAGGAAGGCAGAAGAAGGAGAGCUGCUGCAGUGGGUGACAUCUGAGGAAUACAGACAGACACACAGCCUGUUAGGCCAGCCUGCUGCUUGCCUUGUUCCAGCCUCCAGGACCUACUGCUCUCUGCACAGAAAGGAGUUAAAUAGAGGCUGUGGAUGCAGCUUAGUUGGUAGGGUGCUCACCCUGUAUGCAGGAAGUCCCGGGUUCCAGCCCCACUCUGCAUUAAACAGAGCAUGGUAAUCCCAGCACUUGGAGAUGGAGACAGAGGAGCAGAUGUUCGAGGUGAUGCACUGGAGGCCAGGCUGGACUCCAGAGACCCUGUCAGAAGAAAAACAGGAAGGGUGAGAGGGAAGUGGUAAGGAAAGGAAAAAGAAAACAGAAAAAAUAAAUAAAAGGAGUGGACAGACAUGAAUAGGAGGAGUGAAGAAAUGGAUGCCCUGCAGAGGGCUUGGAGGAGAGCGGACAGGUGCCUGGUCGCUAGCUUGAUCGUUGCUGGUCUCUGGAAAGGUCACACAAACAGGCCAGCAUGGAGAUACAGCCAGCUCUGUCAAGUCCUAGGCUUGGCCAAACAGGAGAUCGUCUGGAUCUAAGGAAGACUCGACGAUCAGAGAUCUGAGAACCAGAAGAGGGUAAAUGCAGGGGCCAAGUAGGAACAUGAGGGCUAGUGAUCAGCUCAGCAGAUUCAAGAAAAGCAUUUGCCAAGAAGGGGCUGGCCACGUAGAGUGUGAGGGAUAAAGAAGAGUUCACAGAACUGGAGGAGGUAGACAUGGGAUUCUCCUGCAUACACUGAGAUAGGGGGCUACACGAAUCCUAAAUGGUCAUAUAGUAAAAACCCAGAGCCAGACAUUAGAGGGAAAGCUGAAAAAUCAGAGAAGCAGAGCAAGCCACAGCCACCACCUCUUACCUCACCAACUCCUCAGCCUGACAAGAGAGUGAGUUCCUGUCUCCUCCUGCCUUAUAUUCCUUUCUCUGCCAGCCAUAUCACUUCCUGUCUCAACCUUCCUAGUGCUGGGAUUGAAGGUGCGUGAUCCCAAGGGCUGGAAUUAAAGGUGUGUGCCACCAC